UGCAGGACUGUAAGUUUACCUCUUUGGCGCAUAUUGAGUUUUGAGCUAUUAUAAUCUGUCAUUUAUAUUUCAUGGAAUGCUCCCAUUAUUGCCAAUGGAGGCUAAGAAUAUAAGAUUACAAGAGCCUUGCAGCUGAAUCAGGCCAGUGGCCCAUUUAGUCCAGCAUCCUGUUCUCGCAGUGGCCAACCAGAUGCCUGCAGGAAGUGCACAAGCAGGACCUGAGGGUGAUAACCAUGCUCUCCCUGUAUACAGCCUCCGACAGUGGAUGUAGAACACAACAGGAUAAAAAGAUGCCAUACUUGAAAGACAGAGAGAAACAUAUAAGUAAAACUGCAAGAGUUGAAACUGAAAUUUUUGACAGAGGCAAGUAGUGGCAUGUUAAGCCUGAUUAUAUCGUUUAAAGGCAAGGUUCAAUGGCAUCUCUCCCCACUACCUAUUGAAACAGAAUUGACAGUACACAAUGUUUACUGCUGGCAAUAAGGAUGGGAGAGAAAUUAGAUUCAGUUCACAUUUAAAGAGUCUCAUGUCCCAAGCAUCUCCAGGGAGGGCAAGGAAUGAUCCCCACCUGAAAUCAUGGAGAGCCGCUGCCAGUCAGUGUCAACAGUACUGAACUAGAGGGGCCAAUUUUCUGACUCAGUAUAAAGCAGCCGCUUUGCAUAUGGCAUAUUUACAAGUGGGACAUGUUCAUUCUGCACUUGUAUGGAAUUAAUCCUGCAGUGGGAGCACCGAUACUUUGGGGCUCCCUGCCUAUUAAUAUUAGGUAGCUGCCUGCCAAAAAUUUUGUUUAGGUCACCUCACCUAGACUUGUAAUUUUAACAUAUGCAUUUGUUUGUUUUAAAAAUUAUUUUUAUCUAUAUUUUGAUAAUUUUACUAUGUCAACUAUUUUAAGUUUUUUAAUCUCUAUUUUAAUGGAUAUUUUAUAUCACUCUCUGUA